rnacentral:rRNA from 1 species
UUUGGNAAUGGGGGAACNUUCCAUCCAGCCAUCCCGCGUGUAUGUUNCCCGCCUUCGGGUUGUAAAGUACUUUUGGCAGAGAAGAAAAGGUAUCNCCUAAUNCGGGAUACUGCUGACGGUAUCUGCAGAAUAAGCACCGGCUAACUACGUGCCAGCAGCCGCGGUAAUACGUAGGGUGCAAGCGUUAAUCGGAAUUACUGGGCGUAAAGCGUGUGUAGGCGGUUCGGAAAGAAAGAUGUGAAAUCCCAGGGCUCAACCUUGGAACUGCAUUUUUAACUGCCGAGCUAGAGUAUGUCAGAGGGGGGUAGAAUUCCACGUGUAGCAGUGAAAUGCGUAGAUAUGUGGAGGAAUACCGAUGGCGAAGGCAGCCCCCCUGGGGAUAAUACUGACGCUCAGACACGAAAGCGUGGGGGAGCAAAACAGGAUUAGAUACCCUGGUAGUCCCACGNCCCUAAACGAUGUCAACCUANCCUGUUGGGGCCGUU